rnacentral:sRNA from 1 species
CAGCAUUUAACUCAGAUGCUGAACGUGAAGGAUAACGUUGCGUCAGCAACGGCCCGAAGGGCGAGGCGAAGUCGAGUCAUCCUGCACGACCCACCA